GGUCUAGUGGUUAGGAUUCGGCGCUCU
rnacentral:piRNA from 6 species